AGAUUUUUAGUUUGUUAACCCGAAACUAAGGGAGCUACUCCAAGACAGCCUAAUAAUAGGGCACACCCGUCUCUGUUGCAAAAGAGUGGGGCGAGCUUUGAGUAGAGGUGACAAACCUACCGAACUUAGUUAUAGCUGGUUGCCCAAGAAAUGAAUAGAAGUUCAGCCUCCCGGAUUCUCCCUUCACCUCAGUGUACACAAGCCCCUGAUAUAUUAAGAAACCGUGAGAGUUAUUCAAAGGGGGUACAGCCCCUUUGAAACAAGACACAACUUUCCCAGGUGGGUAAAGAUCACAAUAACACAGGGUAAGCAACUCUCGUGGCCCGAAAGCAGCCACCCCCUGAAGAAAGCGUCUAAGCUCGGAACAAUCUUACCCCUCCCCCAAUCCUGAUUAUUUAAUCUUAUCCCCCUAAACUUAUUGAGCCAUCCCAUGCCCCCAUGGGAGUGACCAUGCUAAUAUGAGUAAUAAGAAGCCCAGGCUUUCUCCCCGCACGCAUGUAAAUCGGAAUGGACCCCCCCCGAAUAUUAACGGCCCCAAACAAAGAGGGCAGUGGGGGAGAAAACUUAAACAACAGGAAAAACCCCCAACAACAACCGUUACCCCAACAAAGGUGUGCCCCCAGGGAAAAACUAAAAGGGUGAGAAGGAACUUGGGAAAACACAUAAAAGCUUCGCCUGUUUACCAAAAAACAUUGGCUUUUUGCAAAUAAAUGGAAUAAGAGGGUCCGCCUGCCCUGUGACUAUAAGUUUAACGGCCGCGGU
rnacentral:rRNA from 1 species